GUUGAUCUGAAUAAAUCUCUAGGAGGAGUUCGUUAAAAUACAAGGCAUGCAAAUGACAAAAAUGAUGCAAAAUUUGCUCAUAAAAUUAAAAAUAACCGACUUCCUGUUGGGUUUCGGAUAUUGCUCCAAGAGUCUUUUUUGUAGGUACUGAUGCUUUACAUAUGUGUGCCAAUUUUCGUGCAUGUACGUGAAACACAGCGGGAGGGCUGUUGAUUUUUUUACGAUAGGUGGCGCUGUCGAGCCAUUUUGCCACACCCUCUUCUGAAACCUAUAUCAGACGUAAAUUUUCACCAGGUCUGACGCGUGUGCAAAGUUUCAGGACUUUUCGAGCAUGUUUAGGCCCUCAAAAAUGCGAUUCAUUUUGGAGAAGAAGAAGAAGAAGAAGAAGAAGAAGAAGAAGAAUAAUAAUAAUAAUAAUAAACAAAGCAGAUACAAGAGGGUCCUCACACCAUCGGUGCUCGGGCCCUAAUAAUAAA
ensembl:lncRNA